GAUGAACGCUGGCGGCGUGCUUAACACAUGCAAGUCGAACGGAAAGGCCACAGCUUGCUGUGGUACUCGAGUGGCGAACGGGUGAGUAACACGUGGGUGAUCUGCCCUGUACUUCGGGAUAAGCUUUGGAAACUGGGUCUAAUACCGGAUAGGAAUCACAUGUGGGUGUGUGGUUGGAAAGCUUUUGCGGUAUGGGAUGAGCUCGCGGCCUAUCAGCUUGUUGGUGGGGUAAUGGCCUACCAAGGCGUCGACGGGUAGCCGGCCUGAGAGGGUGUACGGCCACAUUGGGACUGAGAUACGGCCCAGACUCCUACGGGAGGCAGCAGUGGGGAAUAUUGCACAAUGGGCGCAAGCCUGAUGCAGCGACGCCGCGUGGGGGAUGACGGCCUUCGGGUUGUAAACUCCUUUCGUCAGGGACGAAGCGAAAGUGACGGUACCUGGAUAAGAAGCACCGGCUAACUACGUG
rnacentral:rRNA from 1 species